CAACUGAAGCUGCACCGAGCA
rnacentral:miRNA from 1 species